UAUCCCGUAACAAGCGCAACCCUUUGUCCUUAGUUACCAGCAGUUAUGGUGGGCACUCUAAGGAGACUGCGGUGACAAACGGAGGAGGGUGGGGAUGAGUCAAGUCAUCAUGGCCCUUACGGCCUGGGCUACACACGUGCUACAAUGGUCGGUACAGAGGGUCGCCAAGCCGCGAGGUGGAGCUAAUCUCACAAAACCGAUCGUAGUCCGGAUCGCAGUCUGCAACUCGACUGCGUGAAGUCGGAAUCGCUAGUAAUCGCGAAUCAGAAUGUCGCGGUGAAUACGUUCCCGGGCCUUGU
rnacentral:rRNA from 1 species